CUCGGGGCCUGAUUCCAACCACAUCCACCACUCCAACACCCGAGCCGGCACGAGUGGGGAGCAUAGAGGGAUUGCAAUAAUAAAUGCUCCCUUGUGUUCUCUCUUCAUAAUCAAACAGAAGAAAACUAUGUGCUCACCCAUCAUCCAUGUGUAAUUCAAGGUGAAUCCAGGUUGGGAAAUGAGAAUUAUACUGAAACAUCAGAACAACGAAAACAAUUAC
rnacentral:lncRNA from 1 species